rnacentral:lncRNA from 1 species
UCUCAAGUAUCCAAUCCUCAUGUCUCUAACAUGGUAUCGUCACUAGCAUCCCGAAAAUCUAGUUUAAGUCACAAGGUGAAGUUCUAACAUUCACUACGCCUAGUGCCCCUUGAUGACACUUAGACAAUUUAAUGUUCAACAUAAUCCAAAUCCCUCAAUGGCCCUAACCACUAGGUUCACACAUAUCCCGAGCUCAAUGCCGCUUGAUGACAUUAGCUCUCUAAUUCACAUACAUUCUAGUUCGAUGCCUCUAUAUGGCAAUUUUGUCAUCUUUCAUGUCUCAAAUAAACCUAGGUUUAAAUACAUGAAUCAAAGCUUAUUUUCAUUAUAAGGAACAUGGCCCAACAUGAGAAUGCUAAACAAUCAACCAUAAGCUUCAUAUGCGACUCUCUAUUACAUAGAAGUCCAAAAUUGCACUAUAUGUAACAUAGGCAUUUUAAGCAUUCUAAAAUUCACAAUAAAUACAUAUAACAAGAAUAUGC